CCUACGGGUGGCAGCAGUAGGGAAUAUUGCUCAAUGGGGGAAACCCUGAUGCAGCAACGCCGCGUGGAGGAUGAAGGUUUUCGGAUUGUAAACUCCUUUUGUUAGGGAAGAUAAUGACGGUAUCUAACGAAUAAGCACCGGCUAACUCCGUGCCAGCAGCCGCGGUAAUACGGAGGGUGCAAGCGUUACUCGGAAUCACUGGGCGUAAAGCGCGCGUAGGCGGGAUAGCAAGUCAGAUGUGAAAUCCUAUGGCUUAACCAUAGAACUGCAUUUGAAACUGUUAUUCUAGAGUUUGGGAGAGGUAGGUGGAAUUCUUGGUGUAGGGGUGAAAUGCGUAGAGAUCAAGAGGAAUACUCAUGGCGAAGGCGACCUGCUAGAACAUAACUGACGCUGAUGCGCGAAAGCGUGGGGAGCAAACAGGAUUAGAUACCCUUGUAGUC
rnacentral:rRNA from 1 species